rnacentral:rRNA from 1 species
CCUACGGGAGGCAGCAGUGGGGAAUUUUGGACAAUGGACGAAAGUCUGAUCCAGCCAUGCCGCGUGCGGGAAGAAGGCCUUCGGGUUGUAAACCGCUUUUGUCAGGGAAGAAAUCCUUUGAGUUAAUACCUCGGGGGGAUGACGGUACCUGAAGAAUAAGCACCGGCUAACUACGUGCCAGCAGCCGCGGUAAUACGUAGGGUGCAAGCGUUAAUCGGAAUUACUGGGCGUAAAGCGUGCGCAGGCGGUUAUAUAAGACAGAGGUGAAAUCCCUGGGCUCAACCUGGGAACUGCCUUUGUGACUGUAUAGCUUGAGUGCGGCAGAGGGGGAUGGAAUUCCGCGUGUAGCAGUGAAAUGCGUAGAUAUGCGGAGGAACACCGAUGGCGAAGGCAAUCCCCUGGGCCUGCACUGACGCUCAUGCACGAAAGCGUGGGGAGCAAACAGGAUUAGAUACCCUGGUAGUCCACGCCCUAAACGAUGUCAACUGGUUGUUGGGAAGGUUCCUUCUCAGUAACGUAGCUAACGCGUGAAGUUGACCGCCUGGGGAGUACGGCCGCAAGUUGAACUUAAGGAAUUGACGG